AGAAGUUGGAGAGGACAUGACUUCUGUGAGCUAAAUGAUAACGUCUUCAAUGAAGGAAGAGGGAAGGGCUGGUAAGUAGGUCUAUAAAUGACUGCUAUUUUGAAGGGAGUGAGCUAUAGCAAGAUGAGCUCAAAAGAACAAGGCAUUUCACUGAGGAAAAUAUUUGAUCUGAAGUUGGUUGAAUCAGAAGACGCCAAACCGGCAGAUAUGGAGGACCAACAGUGUAUGCUUAAUUGUUUAUGUUGGUUUCAAGAACCCUUUCAUAUAGGAUUAAUGCUUCCUGAUGAUCAUUAUACUAGGUGCUAAGAUGUUGACAUGUGCAGAAGACCAGUUAUGAUAUUUCCUAGUUUGUUCACCAAAAUAAUUCAGUCUACAUCCAUUUGUUGCCUAUCAAUGACAGACUGGAUAAAGAAAAUGUAGUAUAUAUACACCCCGGAAUACCAGGCAGCCAUAAACAAGAACAAGAUCACGUCUUUUGUGGGAACAUGGAUGGAGCUGGAGGCUGUUAUCCUUAGCAAACUAACGCAGGAACAGAAAACCAAAUACCACAUAUUCUCAGUUACAAGUGGGAGUUAAAUAAUAACAACUUAUGAACACAAAUAAGGAGACAACAGACACUGCGAUGUACUUGAGGGUGGAGGGUAGGAGGAGGAAAAGGAGCAGAAAAGAUAAGUAUCAGGUACUGGGCUUAACACCUGAGUGAUGAAAUAGCAUGUACAACAAACCCCCAUGACACGUUUACCUAUGUAACAAACCUUCACAGGUACCCCCAAACCUAAAAUAAAAGUUAGAAAACAAAAAAAAAACUUGCCUUGAUUUCUGUCAGGUUUCUAAAUUUUCUGGAUCCAGACAAAGAUAUAUUAAUUUGUUUUAUACUCAUUUGUUUUCUUCUUUAAUGAUAUUUAUUCAAUUGAAAAGUGUGUACUAUUAUUACCUAAAACCAUUAAAAUUUAGUGAGAGGUUAAGGGAAUGCCAUAAUUAAUGUUUAAUAGUUGUCAGAAUACAAAAUUAUUUUAACAGCUUUGUUGAGGUGUAAUUAACAUACAAUAAACUGCAUACUGAAGAUAUAUAAUUUGAUAAGUUUCAAUGUGCAUACAUACUCAUCAUAAUCACCAUAAUAAAUACAUUAUAUAUAUAUGCAUCACUCCAAAAAGUUUUCACAUGUCCCUUUGUAAUACCUCCCUCUUCUCCUCCCCUCAACAAUCACGCUACUGGUUUGUGUCUUUUUGUAGAAUUUAAAUACAUGAAAUUGUUCAUGCAGUGUGAUACUUUUUUUAAAUCUUAAAUCUUUUCUCAGAAUAAUUCUUUUGAGACUCAUUCGUGUAGUGGAAUGUACCAAAUGUAUUAUUUUUUAUUGUAGAGUGGAAUUUAUUGUAUGCAUAUAUCAUAAUGUGUUUUCAUAUUUAUCUGUUGAUGAAAAGUUGACUUGUUUUUAAUUUUUGCUAUCACAAGUAAAACUUCUGAACACAUUUGUGUAUGAGUCUGUAUGUAGGCACAUACUUUCAUUUUAUUUGGUACUAACACCAAGGAGUAGAAUAAUUGGAUCUUAUGGUAGGUUUAUAUUUAACUUUUUAGAAAACUGCCACAUUAUUUUCCAAAGUUGUUGUUUUUUUUCACAUUCUCAACACCAAUGCAUGAAGAGUUCCAGUUACUCUACAUCCUCAUUAAUAGUUGGUAUGGUCACAUAUUUAAAUUUUUGCUCUUUUUAUAGAUCAGUGGUAAUAUCUCAUCAGUUUUAAUUUGCAUGUCACUUAUAAUUAAUAAUGUUAAGAAUAUUUUCAUGUGCUUAUUUGCCAUCCAUAUAUCUUCCUGGGUAUUGGUUGUCUGUUUUCUUAUUAUUGUAAAUUUUGAGAGUGUAUUAUAUAUUCAGAAUACACAUCCAUUAUCAAAUAUGUGAUUAACAAGUAUUUUCUCCAAGUCUAGGGUUUGUAUUUUCAUUCUCUUAACAGUGUCUUUGAAAUACCAAAAGUUAUUAAUUUUGAUGAAGUCUGAUUUACCAAUACUUUAUUUAGUAGAUCAUGCUUUGGUGUCAUAUCUAAGAUACCUGAAUAAUAUCGAAUUAUCUGACUGAUGAAAAUUAUAUGUCUCUCUUUACUAAGAUAUUUUGUAAAAAUUUCUCUCAGCAAUAUUUUAUCGUUUUUCAGUCUAAAAGUCUUCCAUUUGUUUUGCCAGAUUUAUCUCAAAUAUUUCAUAUAUUUUAAUUCUUUUAAUGAAUAUCAAUUAAAUAUCAACAUCUGAUUACCCAUUAUUAGUAUACAGAAGCACAACUGAUUUUACGUAUUGCCCUUGUAUUCUGAAAUUCUGCUAAACUCUCAUUACCAGCUUUUCUGUAGAUUCCACUGGAUUUUCUAUAUAAAUCAUCAUGUAUCUGUGAAUAAAGACCAAAUUAUUUAUUCUUUUAAUUACUUAUUUUCAAUAUGGAUGCAGUUAAUUUUGUUUUCGUGCCUGAUUGCACUGGCUAGCACUUGUAAUACACUGUUGAAUAGAAUUGGUGAGAGUGGACAUCCUUGCCUUGUUCUUGAUUUAAGGGGGAAAACAAUUAUCAUUUAAAAGAGGCUUUCAUUAUUAAACAUGAUGUUACCUACAGACUUUCUUUGAAUGUCUUUUGUAGUUUGAGAAGUAUCAUUCUAUUUCUAGUUUUCUAAGAAUUUUUGUCAGGAAUGGAUGUUAGAAUUUGUCAAAUAUAUUUUCUGCAUCUAUUGAGAUUAUCAUGUGUCUAUUUUAUUUAGUUUGUUAAUAUGGUCAAUAUUAUUGAUUAAUUUUUAAAUAAUAAACUAAGUUAUGCAUCAUUCCUGCAAUAAAUUCCACUUGGUCCUGGUAUUCUAUUCUUUCAUAUAUUGUUGGAUUCACUUUGCUAAAAUUUUCUUAAGAAUUUCUGUAUGUGUUCAUGAAGGAUAGUCAUUUAUAGUUUUCUUUUCGUAACAUGUCCUUGUCCAAUUUUUGUAAUAGUGUAAGACUUUCCUGAUAACAUAAGUUUGCAAAUAUUCCUUCGUCACACAUUUUCUGGAAGAGUUUGUUUAAAAUUCAUAUAGUAUUUUCCCGAAAUGUUUGGUAGAAUUCACCAUGGGAGUCAUCUUGGUCUGGUGUUUUUUUUGUUAUUAGAAGGUUUUUUUUUUUAUUUUUUUUCACUGCAAAAGUAACUUAUUUAACAGAUAUAGGGUUAUUAAAGCAAUCUAAUUCCAUUUGAGUAAACUAUCAUUUACUUUGGUAGUUUAUGCAUUGCAAUGCAUGCUCGUUUUGCCUAAAUUGUCAAUUUUAUUAGCAUAACAUUAUUCAUAAUGUUAUCCUGUUAAUGUCUUUAAAUCUAUAAUGUCUCCUUUCAUGUUCCUACAGCAGCUAACUUAUACUUUCUCUCUUAUUUUUUCUGAUCGGUCUGGCUCUGGAAUUUUGUCAAGUUUGUUGAUAUCAUCAAAUAAUUAACUUUGAUCCAUUCAUUGUUUUUUCUUUUUUCUCUUUUCUGUUUCAUUUGUUUCCACCUCAAGCUUUUGCCCCAAAUUCUUAUGUUUCUUUUGGUCUGUAUUUGCUCUCACUUUCUAGUUCUUAAGGAGAAAAAAGUGAAGUCGCUAAUUUCAGACGUUUCUUCUUUAUUAGGCAUUUAUGUUUAUAUAUUGUCUAAUAAAUAUGGCUAUAG
rnacentral:lncRNA from 1 species